UUGGGCCUCAUGCAUAAAACGUGAGCUUGAGCUCGGACUCGAUUUUUUGAGUAAAAGGUGCUUGUCGUAUGCAUAAUAAAAUUUGAUGUGUUUGCUUUUACUCGCUGAUUCCGUUUGAUCUCAUCGUGCUCAGUAUGAACGAAGUUAGAUGAGCUAGUGCUCAUUUUCAUAUGUAUAAAAACAAGCUUUUGCUUUCUUUUGUGAGCUCUUGCUCAAAUUUUGUUGAGGCUGCCUUAUAGUUGACUCGCGUACACUAAAAAGGAAUCAUGGCUGAAUAUUUUGUGCCACAAAGAAAUAUAAAAUGUUAUCAACAGCGUAAAACAAAUUUAACAAGUGAGGAUAAAAAAUUAUAUAGGUUUGAUGACACUAGCAUCUGUUGGUUGGCUUAUUAUUUUUUUGAGAAGUCAGAAGAAACACUUAGUGAUGCCCUCAGUAACAUUGAUAACAUUUGACUAUAUUUAAUAUUUUGUGCAGAUCCUGGAUUCCAAAAUGGUAUAACCUCAAAAUUGCAUAGUAAUGUUCAAAUCCGGAUAUCUGUCUGUCUGUCCGUCCGUCCGUCUAUCCGUCCGCGCAAACUGUAACUUGAGUAAAAAUAGUCACAUAUCUUCCUGAAAUUAGUAGACGUGUUUUUUGGCACUAUAUGAAGAUU